rnacentral:rRNA from 1 species
AGACGGAGGGGGCUAGCGUUAUUCGGAAUUACUGGGCGUAAAGGGCGCGUAGGCGGAUUAGUAAGUUGGGAGUGAAAGCCCGGGGCUUAACCUCGGAACUGCUUUCAAAACUGCUAGUCUUGAGUGAAGUAGGGGGUGAUGGAAUUCCUAGUGUAGAGGUGAAAUUCUUAGAUAUUAGGAGGAACACCGGUGGCGAAGGCGGUCACCUGGACUUCAACUGACGCUGAGGCGCGAAAGCGUGGGGAGCAAACAGCAUUAGAAACCCUAGUAGUCC